rnacentral:rRNA from 1 species
AUUGAACGCUGGCGGCAGGCUUAACACAUGCAAGUCGAGCGGAGAUGAGGUGCUUGCACCUUAUCUUAGCGGCGGACGGGUGAGUAAUGCUUAGGAAUCUGCCUAUUAGUGGGGGACAACAUUCCGAAAGGAAUGCUAAUACCGCAUACGUCCUACGGGAGAAAGCAGGGGAUCUUCGGACCUUGCGCUAAUAGAUGAGCCUAAGUCGGAUUAGCUAGUUGGUGGGGUAAAGGCCUACCAAGGCGACGAUCUGUAGCGGGUCUGAGAGGAUGAUCCGCCACACUGGGACUGAGACACGGCCCAGACUCCUACGGGAGGCAGCAGUGGGGAAUAUUGGACAAUGGGGGAAACCCUGAUCCAGCCAUGCCGCGUGUGUGAAGAAGGCCUUAUGGUUGUAAAGCACUUUAAGCGAGGAGGAGGCUACUGAGACUAAUACUCUUGGAUAGUGGACGUACUC